GGCACUAUGGCGGAGUGGUUAUCGCGUGGCACUAGAAUCAAGCAAGCAUUCUAGAGUAAAAAUCCUACUCAACAGCAUAUGCCAUUCCCUCUGGGAGCACAGGUUCAAAUCCUGUUGGUGUCG
rnacentral:tRNA from 1 species